GACGAACGCUGGCGGCGUGCUUAACACAUGCAAGUCGAACGGUGAAGCGCCUUCCUUUUUGGUGGGUGUGGAUGAGUGGCGAACGGGUGAGUAACACGUGAGUAACCUGCCCCCUUCUUCUGGAUAACCGCAUGAAAGUGUGGCUAAUACGGGAUAUUCUGGGUCUGUCGCAUGAUGGGUCUGGGAAAGAUAUUGUUUCGGUGGGGGAUGGGCUCGCGGCCUAUCAGCUUGUUGGUGGGGUGAUGGCCUACGAAGGCGGUGACGGGUAGCCGGCCUGAGAGGGUGGACGGUCACACUGGGACUGAGACACGGCCCAGACUCCUACGGGAGGCAGCAGUGGGGAAUAUUGCACAAUGGGCGCAAGCCUGAUGCAGCGACGCCGCGUGAGGGAUGGAGGCCUUCGGGUUGUGAACCUCUUUCGCCAGUGAAGCAGGCCUGCCUCGUUUGUGGGUGGGUUGACGGUAGCUGGAUAAGAAGCGCCGGCUAACUACGUG
rnacentral:rRNA from 1 species